AGCUGCUCAAGCGCCUACAGAACAACGACACGUGCAGCAUGCCAGGCCUCACGUGCUUCACCCACGACAACCAGCACUGGCAGACCGCGCCUUUCUGGACACUGGGGCCUUUCUGUGCCUGCACCAGCGCCAACAAUAACACGUACUGGUGCAUGAGGACCAUCAAUGAGACUCACAAUUUCCUCUUCUGUGAAUUUGCAACUGGCUUCCUAGAGUACUUUGAUCUCAACACAGACCCCUACCAGCUGAUGAACGCAGUGAACACACUGGACAGGGAUGUCCUCAACCAGCUACACGUACAGCUCAUGGAGCUGAGGAGCUGCAAGGGUUACAAGCAGUGUAACCCCCGGACUCGAAACAUGGACCUGGGCAGAUGACCUUUGACAAGCUGUGCUUCUGAGAGAGGAAUACCUGCAUCAACUGCCCAGGAGACACACGGAAUUCCCUCUCAUUUCAUUGUCCUCCCUUUUGUUCACUCAUGCAUUCAACAAACACUUCCUGAGAACUUACACCUGAAACCAUGUUGACUAAAGAUGACCCCAUCCUCGCUG
rnacentral:sRNA from 1 species